rnacentral:rRNA from 1 species
AGACGGUUACGCUGCACUUACAGAGGGCCCGCGGCGCUUAGCUAGUGGGAGUAACGGCUCACCAAGGCGACGUGCGAGCCGACCUGAGAGGGGUCGGCCACACUGGGACUGAGACACGGCCCAGACUCUACGGGAGGCAGAGAAGGAAUCUUCCGCAUGGACGAAAGUUGACGGAGCAAC